GAGCAGCCAACCAGCUCCCGUCGCUCAAUAGAUGCACGAUCACCAAAACGCGAGGGGAGGCGCAACGGGCCGCGCGCUGCUGGCGCUAUAUCCAGCGGCUCAGACGCGCUGCGCCUCCAUUCACUUCAGAGUCGCGAGCAGCCAAGGAGCGGCGCCGACUGCUGCACGAGAGGCUCCGGAGAGCGGAACGCGGACAACUUUCUCCGCCGUGAUCUGAGAGGAUCUGUUCGUUUGGAUUAUUUCCUUUCAGGACUAUUAAACACCGAGCAGUGCUCGUGCGUAAUUUUGCCUCACACUGUCCAAAAAAGCCCUCGCUUGUCAUUUGAGCAGUGCGAGCUGAACUUUGAAGCCUGUUUGUUAGAGGGUGGAGGACAAGUGCAAUGUGCGCCAGCGUCGCCUCCUUGGAUUGUCGCGCUCGCGCCUGAGGAGCUAUGUCGACCCGCCGCGCGGCUCCAACGAGCGGACGCAGCCCCGUGUGAAUAACGCGCGUGCACCCCCAGCCCCUUUGGCGUUCCACGCUCACGGGCAAGUGCAACGGAGUGUGACUGCGCCCGCCGAGCAGCUCUGACACCCGCUCGCGCUCCGCGAGGGGAUGGUUGUGGAUCCUCUGCGUCCAGGAGCGACACCGCGGCUCCUACACGACAGCAUCUGUUUCUUGUCGGGGGUUCUGUCUGAAUUAAAGGGAGAUGAGAGCCGCACUGUGUUACAUCCUGCUGUGGACGACGUACCUGCUGCUGGCCACCGCUGAGGAAGUGGAGUUUCCCCAGGAGCUGAUAGACAAGCUGUCCCACAGUGAAAUCCACAGCAUCAGCGACCUCCAGCGGCUACUGGAGAUUGACUCCGUAGGUGCGGGAAACGAUGUGGUGGAGGAGCGCAAGCGGCACCACCACCCGCCCCCCCACCACAAGAACUACUCCCACCCCCACGGCUACUACAGCGACCUGAAGAGCUCGCAGCUCCACAGCAGACGCAGGAGGAGCAUUGUGGAGGAGGCGGUCCCGGCGGUGUGUAAGACGCGCACGGUGAUCUACGAGAUCCCCAGGAGCCAGGUGGAUCCCUCGUCCGCCAACUUCCUGAUAUGGCCGCCCUGCGUGGAGGUGAAGCGCUGCACGGGCUGCUGCAACACCAGCAACAUGCGCUGCCACCCGUCCCGCAAGCACCACCGCACGGUCAAGGUGGCCAAGGUGGAGUACGUGAGGAGGAGGCCUAAGCUGAAGGAGGUCUUUGUGCGGUUAGAAGACCACCUGGAGUGCGUGUGCACAUCCCAGCAUCACGUGGUGGAGCAUGCAGAUGCCGAAUCAGGCCAUCGUAGGGCUAAGGGUAAAAAAAGGAAACCUAAAAAACUAAGACCCACCAAGGAUUUAUUGGCAACAUAAUAAAGUUGCUCUCAUGACCCAAAGUCCAGUGGAGAGCUGUGAGGGGAACAGUGGACGUGAGGUGAGGCAGAACCCGGGAGCUCAGCGUGGGAGGGACCGGAACCCAGGACGUUCUCUUCCCCACUGACCUGCGAGCUUCAUUUAAUAACACUAACUUUUCUAAACAGACGAGAGACUGAAGAGUAGACGAGAGACGGAGACGAAUAAGAUGCCAAAGGUGCUUUUGAAUGAACAAUAACCAGUGAUGAUGAAUCCUCCUGCUAGUUGCGCUGGUUGUGGAGCUUGGGAGGUGAUGAAAGGGAUUCGUGUUGACCUUUUUUUUUGACGGACCUUGUUUGAACAAGACACACAAGUCGAAAUGGCUCUGAAACAGUUCGGAUCGUGCCUUCGUGGGAACCCGGUGCUCCGGCUCCAGAACAGCAGUGGGGGACCUCCAGCCGGGCAACAUAAAAGUGCCGUUCCCUGUUUAAAUGACCUGUUCGUACACAGGAAGAGAAAAAGCAAGAUACAGGAAAACAAUGGAGUCACGGAGGUGUUUUAUUUUCCACAGGACUCUCUAUGGAGCAUCAAACAGUGAAUGUCUGAAUGUUCGCUCCGAGCCGAGAGGAAAUUUUCCCUCGAGGCCCCAGGCGGCCGGUGACUUUGCCCACCUACGAUGUAGAGUUCAAUCUGAAACGGAAGAUACGCCGGCCCACGAACUAUUUAUACAUACGGACGUUCGCUUUCGGUCUCUACCGGUGCAAAAGAACUGGGGAGCGUGAGCUGAGGAGCUGUUUGUACGAGUUUGGUCCCGUUCUUUGUAAACAUCAGUAUCACAAUCUCAGUCAUUUUUUUAAAAGUUGUUGUUAUUCUUGUCAUCCAUGUUUCUUAUUAUAUUACCGUAUAUCUGAAUGAUGUCAAGUCUUGUAUAUGGUUUGGAUGUAUGUGCAAGGUGGAGAUGUGAGAAUCCCUCCAGGAAGAUGCUUUAUUUUUGUUAUGAAAUAUAUUAUGCUUACUUAUAUCCAAGCAGGAAUUAUGUUUAAUUCUUUUGCGGUCGAAUGCCUGUAUUUAAUUCAUUCGAAGGGGCCAUGAGAGCUGUGAACAGGGCAGCACAGCCACGAACCUGGAGUGUGUUCACGCCUGUCACACACAGUGUUGCAGCAUCUUGUGUGAGCAGGGAUAGACAGGAUGUGAGCGUCUGUGUUCCGCCGCCAGGCUAUUUUUCAUCCGUAUCGCUCUAGGGCCGAUAAGGCCUCACACGCGCCUGCACCGGGGCAAAGUCCGCCUUACAGAGUGAAUGAGCGAGCAGAGCAAACGGACAAGUGCAUGAAUGGGCCCUUUAUUUGGCCAGACUGUGCUCGUCUGAUGACGGGAGUUCAAACCUCCGCCCUGUGACGGGACGCGAUGCUCUGACGGGACGCAACGCCGGCGCUGACCGGAAACCCUGCUCCAGCGGAGCGAGCGGUUACUUCCUUAACGGUCCUUAUUGCGGUGACGAAUGUGUAACCGGGCAGGCGAGGUGCGAAAACAACCCUCGUCCCCCGCUGAGGACGCUCGACUGGGAGUCACUGAGUGAACUGUGAAGCGUCAAGUGGAAGUCAUGUGGAAUCAAUGUGACAUGGCUGCAGCAGCUACUGUUGAGUUACCACACACACACACACACACACACACACACACACACACACACACACACACACACACACACACACACACACACACACACACACACACACACCAUCACGCCUGUGA